UGCGACUUCGGUCAAAUGACUUUUGAACUUAGUGGCGGACGGGUGAGUAACGCGUGAGCAACCUGCCUUUCAGAGGGGGAUAACACAGGGAAACUUGUGCUAAUACCGCAUGACGCAUGAGGAAGACAUCUUCUUUAUGUUAAAGGAGCAAUCCGCACAAAGAUGGGCUCGCGUCUGAUUAGUUAGUUGGUGGGGUAACGGCCUACCAAGGCGACGAUCGGUAGCCGACCUGAGAGGGUGAUCGGCCACAUUGGGACUGAGACACGGCCCAAACUCC
rnacentral:rRNA from 1 species